GUCUACGUCAUGUGAUGGAGAAUAGAUCCAUGUCAUGUGAUGGAGGAACAGGUCUACGUCAUGUGAUGGAGGAACAGGUCUACGUCAUGUGAUGGAGGAACAGGUCUACUUCAUGUGAUGGAGGAAUAGGUCUACGUCAUGUGAUGGAGGAAUAGGUCCUCGUCAUGGGUCUUUCGGAGUAUCUGUGUCAUGUCUCACUUUGUUAUUGUUGCAUUUUUAAAUGAAUUUAGUUUCUUUCAGAAUAUCACAACUAAUCCUGCUCAGUUGAACCCCUCAUAGGGGCCGGAUAUACCAGGAUGUGAAAAGACAGGUCAAAUGAAGAGAUGUUUUUUGGCUAUUUAUUGAUAUGCAAAUAUAAGUUAAGACUUGUCUGUGUAUGUAAAAAUCCCCGACCAUCCCACACACCAGUUUGUGUGUUCACGUGUCACCAGAGCACACAAACACAGCUCCGUACAGAGACAAACACACAACGCUCUCUCACACACGCUGUAGCGUUGCCUUCAUUCAGCACGGAGAGACACUGACACUCAGAGUAGUGAGGGACAGGGGGGAAUGGAGGCAGGGGGCUG
ensembl:lncRNA